rnacentral:rRNA from 1 species
GACGAACGCUGGCGGCGUGCCUAAUACAUGCAAGUAGGACGCAGUUGCGAACGGGUGAGUAAUGCGUAGGCUACUGCCUAUUAGAGGGGGAUAACUAUUGGAAACGAUAGUUAAUACCGCAUUCUAGUAGAUGGACUUGCGUUGUAUUAGCUAGUAGGUAGGGUAAUGGCCUACCUAGGCGACGAUACAUAGCCGACCUGAGAGGGUGAUCGGCCACACUGGGACUGAGACACGGCCCAGACUCCUACGGGAGGCAGCAGUAGGGAAUCUUCGGCAAUGGGGGGAACCCUGACCGAGCAACGCCGCGUGAGUGAAGAAGGUUUUCGGAUCGUAAAGCUCUGUUGUUAGGGAAGCGGUACUUAACCAGAAAGGGACGGCUAACUACGUGCCAGCAGCCGCGGUAAUUC